rnacentral:rRNA from 1 species
GAAGUAAAAGUCGUAACAAGGUUUCCGUAGGUGAACCUGCGGAAGGAUCAUUACAGAAUAAACUUGAUAAGUUGUUGCUGGCUCGUAAGAGUAUGUGCACACUUGUCAUAUUUAUCUUUCCACCAUGUGCACUAUGCAUAGGUCUGAUAAAAUUUGACCAAGGGUUUCGGCCCCUGGUUAUUGGAAACUGCUGUUGGCAACAAUAGCUUUUUCUGUCUUCAGUUCCUAUGACUUAUAAAUACACCAAGUAUGUUAAAGAACGUUUACAUGGGCUCUUGUAGCCUAUAUAUUAUAAUACAACUUUCAGCAACGGAUCUCUUGGCUCUCGCAUCGAUGAAGAACGCAGCGAAAUGCGAUAAGUAAUGUGAAUUGCAGAAUUCAGUGAAUCAUCGAAUCUUUGAACGCACCUUGCGCUCCUUGGUAUUCCGAGGAGCAUGCCUGUUUGAGUGUCAUUAAAUUCUCAAUCUCAACAUUCUUGUAAUGUUUGUAGAUUGGAUGUGGGGGUUUAUGUGGGUCUUUUACAAGUUCCACUCCCCUGAAAUGUAUUAGCUGGAAUGCCUUUGCAAACCAACUAUCAGUAUGAUAAUUAUCUAUGCUGGAGUUGAUGCAAUAGGGGAUCUGCUUCUCAACCGUCUUUCUAAGACAAUUUGAAACAUUUUGACCUCAAAUCAGGUAGGACUACCCGCUGAACUUAAGC